GGUUCAUUGUUGGUUUUUCCUGUCUCCCUCCAUGUCAGUCACGUUUUAAAGGUCCCUGAUCCUCUGCAACCAUGAUCAAAUUGCUUCAAUCCGACUCAGGGAUUUGUUUGCCGCAACAAGGACCAGAGAAAGGGCAUGUGCCGUGACUACAAAGUUCGCUUUGGGUGCCCGUGCAAGAAAUAAGCUGCGACUCCACAGCAAACAUCCAACAAGAAUAUGAAGCUUUGAUUGCUUUAAAUGUUGUCCUUUUCUCUUUACCUUUCUAUUUGAUAUCUUACUUUGCCUGAUGGAAGAAGUUCAAUAGACCUUUUUUACGGCAGACAUGUUGACUUGUAGCAGGAACAGGACCAUGAAGCCUUAUCAGCUGAUUAAAACUGAGCUUUAUAUCGGAGUAUGUUUUACGUUUACCAACAUGUCUUCUGAGUUAAAAUGCCUCAUGUCAUGUGCUUUAUUAGUUUUCUUUUCUUUUUCUAGUGAUUAUGAAAUCAUUGUCUUGUAAUGUAGGAAAUAAAUCCACAUCAAACGGCAAUAAAACUGCUAUUAAUGAGCAAA